UUUGCCUACGGGGCGCAGCAGUAGGGAAUUUUCGGCAAUGGGGGAAACCCUGAUGCAGCAACGCCGCGUGAGUGAAGAAGUAUUUCGGUAUGUAAAGCUCUAUCAGCAGGGAAGAAGAUGACGGUACCUGAAUAAGAAGCCCCGGCUAACUACGUGCCAGCAGCCGCGGUAAUACGUAGGGGGCAAGCGUUAUCCGGAUUUACUGGGUGUAAAGGGAGCGCAGACGGCAGUGCAAGUCUGGAGUGAAAGCCCGGGGCCCAACCCCGGAACUGCUCUGGAAACUGUGCGGCUAGAGUACUGGAGGG
rnacentral:rRNA from 1 species